GAUGAGCGCUGACAGAAUGCUUAACACAUGCAAGUCUUUGGCGAAUCUGUGCUUGCACAGGCUAGCCAAGGCGGACGGGUGAGUAACGCGUAAAGAACUUGCCCUGCAGACAGGGAUAACAGACGGAAACGACUGAUAACACCUGAUACAGUUGCCGGCACGCAUGUGCCUGGCAAUGAAAAGAGAUGCUGCAGGAGAGCUUUGCGUCCUAUUAGCUUGUUGGUGAGGUGACGGCUCACCAAGGCGAUGAUAGGUAGCCGGCCUGAGAGGGUGAACGGCCACAAGGGGACUGAGAUACGGCCCUUACUCCUACGGGAGGCAGCAGUGGGGAAUAUUGGACAAUGGGGGCAACCCUGAUCCAGCAAUUCUGUGUGCACGAAGAAGGUUUUCGGAUUGUAAAGUGCUUUCAGCAGGGAAGAAGAAAGUGACGGUACCUGCAGAAGAAGCGACGGCUAAAUACGUG
rnacentral:rRNA from 1 species